GUUCGAUCCUUCCGUCCAGA
rnacentral:tRNA from 1 species